CCGCCGGAGCGAUCCGGGGGAGGAAAGUCCGGGCAACGCAGAGCACCACGCAAGCUAACGACUUGAUGUCCGCGAGGGCAUGGGAGCGUAACAGAGAACGACCGCCCGGCGGGAAUGCGCAUUCCGGCCGGGUAAGGGUGAAAAGGCGGGGUAAGAGCCCACCGCGGAGGCAGCGAUGUCGACCGGCCGUACGUCCCGUGGGUUGCAAGACCGUGUAUACCGGCAGUCAAGGGUUGCUCGCCCGAUGCCGGGGGGUAGGUUGCUCGAGGCGGCGGGAGACCGUCGUCCUAGAUAAAUGACAGGGGCCCGGGCUUCGGCCCGGGAACAGAACCCGGCUUACAGGGC
rnacentral:RNase_P_RNA from 1 species